rnacentral:rRNA from 1 species
UCACUCAUCACCCUGUGACAUACCUAUAACGUUGCCUCGGCGGGAACAGACGGCCCCGUAACACGGGCCGCCCCCGCCAGAGGACCCCCUAACUCUGUUUCUAUAAUGUUUCUUCUGAGUAAACAAGCAAAUAAAUUAAAACUUUCAACAACGGAUCUCUUGGCUCUGGCAUCGAUGAAGAACGCAGCGAAAUGCGAUAAGUAAUGUGAAUUGCAGAAUUCAGUGAAUCAUCGAAUCUUUGAACGCACAUUGCGCCCGCCAGUAUUCUGGCGGGCAUGCCUGUUCGAGCGUCAUUACAACCCUCAGGCCCCCGGGCCUGGCGUUGGGGAUCGGCGGAAGCCCCCUGCGGGCACAACGCCGUCCCCCAAAUACAGUGGCGGUCCCGCCGCAGCUUCCAUUGCGUAGUAGCUAACACCUCGCAACUGGAGAGCGGCGCGGCCACGCCGUAAAACACCCAACUUCUGAAUGUUGACCUCGAAUCAGGUAGGAAUACCCGCUGAACUUAAGCAUAUCAAUAAGCGGAGGA